GGAGGAUUAGCUCAGCUGGGAAAGCAUCUGCCUUACAAGCAGAGGGUCGGCGGUUCGAUCCCGUCAUCCUCCACCA
rnacentral:tRNA from 1 species